CUUUGUUUCUUUCUCCCUUUCUCCCUCCCUUUCUUUCAUUCACAGAAACUCAGCCAAAAAACCCUAGCACUGUAAGUCUACACCACCGCCGCAAGGAGUGGCAUACUGCCGCCGUCCGUCCGUCCGUCUAUCUAGCUUUCCUCGUACUCCAAGUCUUUAACCCCUGUUCGCUGUCACCGAUCGCAGCUGCUUCCUCGAACUCGGCGUCCGUCGUCUUUGUCUGCUUAGCCGCGCUUCCGCCGCCGUUUAUUUGCCGUUCACGUUCGCGUCUUCGUUCAGCCGUCGUCUUCGUUCGCGGUCUUCGCCGUUUAAGUUUGCUCGGCGUUUACCAUUCGCGUUCACUCGCCGUUCACCGUUCGUGUUCGCAUUCGCAUUCGUCUGGAAGCCACGUUGCUCUGCUUCAAAAUCUGCGUCCAACCCGCGCGCUCCACCUAGCCGUCAAACUGCUCUCUUUGUCGUCGCGAUGAAAAGGAGAAAGCAAGAGGAUAAAGUGAAGAGGGUGCAACAGCAGGAGGAAUGUUUUAAGCAUGUUAAGCUUGGUCGUCGGAUGAAGCUUUGAUCAUGGCUCUCUUUCUCCUUCUGUGCCCUUUUUCUUCUACACCCCUCUAUUUGUUUUAGGGUAGGGUUCAGAGAGAGGGAUAGUGGUUGAGAUUUAUGGGAGUGAUUGGAAUAUGGGUCAAAUCGAAAAGCUGGAUUUGUGGCCAUUGAGCUGUUUUUCGCUCUCAUGAUGGCAAUUGUUAGGUGAUCCAAUAGCUUCCACAGGUUAGUAGGCAUUAGAUUGAUUUAAGUUUUCUAACGAUGUAUUCAUUGGGACACUUGCUCUGUUGGGUCUUCGUUUGUUAUCCUCAAUUUGUUGUUGAAAAAAGCUAUAGCAAUAAUAGAAGCAUAAUGUCUAAAACUAGUUUUAGUAUUUAAGGCAUAUAACUAUAAAUUUAUAUAGAAAAACAAAUUCAGAUUACAUAAAGGGACUAAAUGAACAUCAAUAAGGGGUGUGUGUCUGUGUGUGUUAAACACACUAAAUUCAAAAUUAGUUUUAGUAUUUAAGGUAUACAACUAUAAAUUUAUGCAGAAAAAUAAGUUCAGAUUACAUAAAGGGACUAAA